CCCUUAGAUGUUCUGGGCUGCACGCGCGCUACACUGGUGCGUUCAGCGAGUUUAGCACCUUAACAGAUAUGUUUGGGUAAUCUUCUGAAAACGCACCGUGAUGGGGAUCGAUUAUUGUAAUUAUUAAUCGUCAACGAGGAAUUCCUAGUAAGUAUGUGUCAUCAUCACGCACUGAUUACGUCCCUGCCCUUUGUACACACCGCCCGUCGCUCCUACCGAUUGGGUGAGCCGAUGAAACUCUCGGAUGUAGGCUAUUCAUAGCCCGCAGAAGAGAUUUGAAUCGUAGCGCUUAGAGGAAGGAGAAGUCGUAACA
rnacentral:rRNA from 1 species